rnacentral:rRNA from 1 species
UACGUAGGGAGCAAGCGUUGUCCGGAAUCACUGGGCGUAAAGCGCACGUAGGCGGAUGUGUCAGUCAGGGGUGAAAUCCCGGGGCUCAACCUCGGAACUGCCUUUGAUACAGCACGUCUCGAGUCCGGAAGAGGUGGGUGGAAUUCCUAGUGUAGAGGUGAAAUUCGUAGAUAUUAGGAAGAACACCGGUGGCGAAGGCGGCCCACUGGUCCGGUACUGACGCUGAGGUGCGAAAGCGUGGG